ACAACCUACAUUUGCUGUGACUUACAUUCCAUCCCUGCAGUACAGUUGAUAACCAUUACUAUAAAUGCUAUAAAUCCAGUCUCACUGAAACAUAUAACACUUGUUGGCCUAUCCAUCUGUACAGGUACAGAUCUACUACUCACACCACUCCUCUCAGGAUCCCUCCAUCUGUACAGGUACAGAUCUACUACUCACACCACUCCUCUCAGGAUCCCUCCAUCUGUACAGGUACAGAUCUACUACUCACACCACUCCUCUCAGGAUCCCUCCAUCUGUACAGGUACAGAUCUACUACUCACACCACUCCUCUCAGGAUCCCUCCAUCUGUACAGGUACAGAUCUACUACUCACACCACUCCUCUCAGGAUCCCUCCAUCUGUACAGGUACAGAUCUACUACUCACACCACUCCUCUCAGGAUCCCUCCCUCUGUACAGGUACAGAUCUACUACUCACACCACUCCUCUCAGGAUCCCUCCCUCUGUACAGGUACAGAUCUACUACUCACACCACUCCUCUCAGGAUCCCUCCCUCUGUACAGGUACAGAUCUACUACUCACACCACUCC